rnacentral:lncRNA from 1 species
GCUUGAUGAAUAAAAGUUGUAGUUCAAAGAAGUUUCUGGCAGAAUCUUGUAAGAGUACUGACAUCUAACUGAAUCCGAAAGUUGACUUGUAUCAAGAAGAGAUGGUGGAUUUUAGGGACAAGAAAGGGUCUGAAUUCACUGUCUCUAACUGUACCAACAACCUAGCUGAGACUUCGGAUAACGUGCUUCUUGCAACAUUAUAUGGAUUAACUGCUGACUGUUAAUUGCGUUGAUCAAUCUUUAAUAGAUAUUUUUGUAAAAUGACUACCUUCUGUUUAUGUGUUUCUCAAGUUCUUAGAUGGUGGAUGCAGGUAGUACUUGACUUGAAUAAAACUUUAAUUUGUGCAUAUGAGACAUCAAGUUUACCUGCCAUCAUUUGCACCCAGGCAACAGAGGCUGGGUUGAAGUGGUUUGAACUCGAAUGUGUUUCGUUGGAAAAGGUAAACUUUCUAAUUUAUACUAUUGAUAGAAUAUUCUAGGAAAUUUCUUUGAAAUCCA